rnacentral:rRNA from 1 species
AUUGAACGCUGGCGGCAUGCCUUACACAUGCAAGUCGAACGGCAGCACGGGUGCUUGCACCUGGUGGCGAGUGGCGAACGGGUGAGUAAUACAUCGGAACGUACCUUAUCGUGGGGGAUAACGCAGCGAAAGCUGUGCUAAUACCGCAUACGCCCUGAGGGGGAAAGCGGGGGAUCGAAAGACCUCGCGCGAUUAGGGCGGCCGAUGCCUGAUUAGCUUGUUGGUGGGGUAAAAGCCCACCAAGCCGACGAUCAGUAGCUGGUCUGAGAGGACGAUCAGCCACACUGGGACUGAGACACGGCCCAGACUCCUACGGGAGGCAGCAGUGGGGAAUUUUGGACAAUGGGGGCAACCCUGAUCCAGCAAUGCCGCGUGAGUGAAGAAGGCCUUCGGGUUGUAAAGCUCUUUUGUCGGGGAAGAAACACCGGCUCUAACACAGUCCGGGAAUGACGGUACCUGAAGAAUAAGCACCGGCUAACUACGUGCCAGCAGCCGCGGUAA